CGCCUCUUGCCUCCCAAGUAUAAGAGGUCCCGCCUGCCCAGUGAUUAAUUUUAACGGCCGCGGUAUCAUGACCGUGCAAAGGUAGCGUAAUCACUUGUCUCUUAAAUAGAGACCUGUAUGAAAGGCAAAACGAAAGCUCAACUGUCUCUUUAAUUUAAUCAGUGAAAUUAAUCUCUCCGUGCAGAAGCGAAGAUAAUUAUAUAAGACGAGAAGACCCUAUGGAGCUUUAAAUCUAAAAUUAAUCAUAUAUUUACACCAGCCAACAGGUAUAAAAUAAAAACAUAUGAUUAUAAUUUAAAUUUUCGGUUGGGGCGACCACGGAAGAAAAAAUAUCCUCCGAGAUAAGUAAUUUAGAAUUACAUUUCAAAAAUUAAAACAUUUAUUAUAAAUGAUCCACCAAGUGACCAACGAACCAAGUUACCCUAGGGAUAACAGCGCAAUCUUUUCUAAGAGUUCAUAUCGACGAAUAGGUUUACGACCUCGAUGUUGGAUCAGGACACCCCAAUGGUGCAGCAGCUAUUAAAGGUUCGUUUGUUCAACGAUUAAAGUCCU
rnacentral:rRNA from 1 species